UACGGAGGGUGCAAGCGUUGUUCGGAAUUACUGGGCGUAAAGAGUGCGUAGGCGGCUUAGCAAGUUGGGAGUGAAAUCCCGGGGCUCAACCUCGGAAUUGCUCUCAAAACUGCUUAGCUAGAGUGUGGUAGGGGAUAGUAGAAUUCCUAGUGUAGGGGUGAAAUCCGUAGAUAUUAGGAGGAAUACCAGAGGCGAAGGCGACUAUCUGGGCCAUUACUGACGCUAAGGUACGAAAGCGUGGGGAGCAAACAGGAUUAGAACCUACCGUU
rnacentral:rRNA from 1 species